GUCUGCUCUUGCAAAGAUGCCACAUCUGGACCAGCUGCUGUAAUUGUUGAGCUCGUGCAGUCUACUGUCAUCCUCCAGAAUCCGUCUGGUUUUUGUAGGGAGCAGAUGGAGCAUUGAAAUCAUAUAGCAGCAUCAUCCAGACCUGCAGAAUCAUACGUGAUCAUAGCCAGUUCACACUGAAAAAAGCCUUGUAGGAGAUUCGCCAACCUAAUCAUUCAGCUUACAGGUGCCUGAAACAAAGAAAAGAAAUGCAGAUAAUUGGAUCUUCAUGACAUUUUCCCAACUGGCCACUUUCCCUGUAACAAGACCAAGCCUGUCUCUUCCAUUGUACUCUCGUGAGCUACCUGGGUCAGAACCUGAAAUCUUGGCGCAGAAGUCCUGUGGCCUGGUGAGUAGCUGUCUAGACCCAACUCCCUGGCUGGGUGGAUUAAACUUACUGCACCCUGAGUCUCUGGGUUUCUUGCCAGCUCCAGCCUAGCAGUGUAUGCCAAACCUCUGUUUCUCACCUGGAAAACUGCAGUGCUUGCUAAGUGGUCUUGUUUGUUAUCCUCUGAAAUCACCUUGUCUUGACUUUUCUACUUGUUUUUUAUCUGUUUCCCCCAUUAGCCUAUAAACUUCUCAUUCCCGGCAGCUGGCACAUGCAUGGCCCAAUAAAUAUUUCUUGAUUGAAUGGAAGGAGCUGUGAAUAGUGGCCUCCUCAAGCAAAGGACAUUUUAUCUCCCAAAGGGAAAUCUACUUUGUUGAUAUGAAAGUGAGCUUCUUAAUAGGUCUACGGGGCAACAUUUUGCUAACCCCAUUCAAAUUAUAACAGACUUCAAAGUCAUAAAGGCAGUAAUAUGCUUCCUUUUAAGUGUGUAAUUUGUAUUUUUUUACACCCAGGAAUGGAAAACAGGGAGUGAAAUAUCCCCCAAUUAUUAUUUUGUGCUUUUGAGGCAGGAUGGCCCACUCACCUGUGGGGACUCUGGUGGCCAAGCACCUCCCACCUCAUUCUUGGCAAUUGUUUUCAUCUGCCUCCCUUCACACUGGCCCUAGCUCAGGUCUGGAAUCUUCCCAGGGUCUGACCUCUGAGUGUCUGUCUCAUGCAAUUCUGCUGCCCUGGUAUUGACUCUCAGGACACAGAAGUAUACUCUCUGCCACAUUCAUGACCACCCUGGGUGACGUGUCAAGGCAUCUUAGUGCAGCCCUGAGUCCCUUGGAGGGAAAUGGCCCCAGUCUGCUUCCUGUUUGAGGUAGCUCUGUUCUGGAUCACUUGGUCCUCCCCUCUCCCUCCUGCCACUGCUGAUUGCAUUGUGGUGAUCACCCCAAGGUCAUCCCAAAGGCAGGCUGCCGUGUAGAGCCUGGCUUGGCACAGGAGGCCCCAGCCAAUGAUCUCUGAUGCUGACCUCAUGCUCCAGGUGCCUGAAACAAAGAAAAGAAAUGCAGAUAAUUGGAUCUUCAUGACAAUUUCCCAACUGGCCACUUUCCCUGUAACAAGACCAAGCCUGUCUCUUCCAUAUGGGUCAGCCAUAUCCCACCCACUCCUCCUGGGAUUUGACUUGGGGAAUGUGGACAGAAUCACACAGUCAGUAGAAGUUGGAAAGUAGGCGGAAGUGGCCACAUGGGGUAGGGACAUAUCAGAGUUAUGAUGAAUCAGAAGCAGAAGCCCCAAGUUGAAGAAGAGAUACAAAGCUUGGAAGCAGGAAGAGAUGGAGCGGACACACAAAGGAAUCCAACACUGGAGAACGGCAACGUAAAGGUGGCGUGCUAGGGGAAAGCUCCAGAAUUCCUGCAGCUGGGCGCUGGAGCCACCCUGAACUUUCAAAGACCUCCCUAUUCCAGUCUCCACAAUCCCAGGUCCUGGUAUGUCCCUGGAUUUGGGGGGAGAUUCUGGCUCCUUUGUAGCACCACAAUAAACC
rnacentral:lncRNA from 1 species